rnacentral:rRNA from 1 species
UACGUAGGGGGCGAGCGUUGUCCGGAGUUACUGGGCGUAAAGCGCACGCAGGCGGUCUGUUAAGUUUGGAGUGACAGUUGGUGGCUCAACCACCAAAGUGCUUUGAAAACUGAUAGACUUGAGGGCUUCAGAGGGACACGGAAUUCCGGGUGGAGUGGUAAAAUGCGUAGAGAUCCGGAGGAACACCAAAGGCGAAGGCAGUGUCCUGGGGAGUACCUGGCGCUCAGGUGCGAAAGCCAGGGGAGCGAACGGG